AGCCCAGCUUGCUGGGUGGAUUAGUGGCGAACGGGUGAGUAAACGUGAGUAACCUGCCCUUAACUCUGGGAUAAGCCUGGGAAACUGGGUCUAAUACCGGAUAGGAGCGCCUACCGCAUGGUGGGUGUUGGAAAGAUUUAUCGGUUUUGGAUGGACUCGCGGCCUAUCAGCUUGUUGGUGAGGUAAUGGCUCACCAAGGCGACGACGGGUAGCCGGCCUGAGAGGGUGACCGGCCACACUGGGACUGAGACACGGCCCAGACUCCUACGGGAGGCAGCAGUGGGGAAUAUUGCACAAUGGGCGCAAGCCUGAUGCAGCGACGCCGCGUGAGGGAUGACGGCCUUCGGGUUGUAAACCUCUUUCAGUAGGGAAGAAGCGAAAGUGACGGUACCUGCAGAAGAAGCACCGGCUAACUACGUGCCAGCAGCCGCGGUAAUACGUAGGGUGCGAGCGUUAUCCGGAAUUAUUGGGCGUAAAGAGCUCGUAGGCGGUUUGUCGCGUCUGUCGUGAAAGUCCGGGGCUUAACCCCGGAUCUGCGGUGGGUACGGGCAGACUAGAGUGCAGUAGGGGAGACUGGAAUUCCUGGUGUAGCGGUGGAAUGCGCAGAUAUCAGGAGGAACACCGAUGGCGAAGGCAGGUCUCUGGGCUGUAACUGACGCUGAGGAGCGAAAGCAUGGGGAGCGAACAGGAUUAGAUACCCUGGUAGUCCAUGCCGUAAACG
rnacentral:rRNA from 1 species